rnacentral:rRNA from 1 species
GAUGAACGCUGGCGGCGUGCCUAAUACAUGCAAGUCGAGCGAACAGAUAAGGAGCUUGCUCCUUUGACGUUAGCGGCGGACGGGUGAGUAACACGUGGGUAACCUACCUAUAAGACUGGGAUAACUUCGGGAAACCGGAGCUAAUACCGGAUAAUAUUUCGAACCGCAUGGUUCGAUAGUGAAAGAUGGUUUUGCUAUCACUUAUAGAUGGACCCGCGCCGUAUUAGCUAGUUGGUAAGGUAACGGCUUACCAAGGCGACGAUACGUAGCCGACCUGAGAGGGUGAUCGGCCACACUGGAGCUGAGACACGGUCCAGACUCCUACGGGAGGCAGCAGUAGGGAAUCUUCCGCAAUGGGCGAAAGCCUGACGGAGCAACGCCGCGUGAGUGAUGAAGGUCUUCGGAUCGUAAAACUCUGUUAUUAGGGAAGAACAUACGUGUAAGUAACUGUGCACGUCUUGACGGUACCUAAUCAGAAAGCCACGGCUAACUACGUG